rnacentral:lncRNA from 1 species
UUCUGAUUUAGCCAUUGUUCCAGAACAUGGAUUUGAUCUUAGAUCUUUUGGGUGACAAGUUGAAUUAUUCUAUUGAUUUGCAUUGAAAAAUAAGUUAGCGGUGUGGAAAUAUAUUACAUUUCAAUUUGGAUUAUUUGGGAUCAAUUCCAAUCUCAUAUAUAUAGAUUUUUUUCAAGAUAGAUCUGGGUCUGACACUCUUGAAUAUCAUUCUUCACUUCAUAGCCAAUCCAACUACGAUAUAGGCCAACCUGCAAUGAAUGUUGGAAUAACACCUCUGUUUAGUAACCUCUAGUAGGAAAGCAAGAUUAAAACAAGAAAGAAAGAUCUCAUCACAUGUUUAAGUGACCUAUAAAAAUGGAUAUGACCAAACAUUGCUAUAAAAUAAUAAAGAGUAUUUGAAAGAAGGUUUAUGUUUUUUCUUAGAUAUUCAGAGCUCCUAUGCUACUCCAAAAAUUUAAUUCUGUUGCUUGUUUGUUUGCAACAAAGAAACCGCAGAUGUUAUGGUACAGAAUUGAUUUGGAAGUUGAUUUUGAAGUUUUUCAAGAUGUUAUACUCGCAUAAUGAAGAACUCCACCAUUUUAUUAAAUUUCAAAAUCAAAGUUGCUUGAAGAAUCUGAUUUUAAUCUGAACCUACAGAUCAAAUCAUGAUGAUUUCAAAAUUGAACAAUGGCUUUGGGACUCAUUGAAGCUGCAUUGAGAUUCUUGAGAAUAUUGAGACAAAUGAAGUAAUGAAUAGCAACAACAAAGUAAGGAAAAAAAGAGGAUACUUGCUU